AUUCUACUCCCUCCAUUGCACAAUACAUGCCUUCUAUUUGUAAAAAUAUAUAUGUAUCUAGACAUGUUUUAGUAUAUAGGUACAUCCAUUUUUGGAUAAAUGGAAGUCAAGUAUUUUGGAACGGAGGGAGUACACA
rnacentral:pre_miRNA from 1 species